AUGUUUGGUUAUAAUUCUUGAAAAGUUCAACCUUUUAGAUUUUAAGUUAUGAGGGUUUAAUCAUUCGAGUUUCGAUUGGUUUUGUCUGAUCGGAUGUAGGGGAACGCGACGCUUCUGCUCCUCCAUUACAACACUGGAGACGAAAGCAGUGACAUCGUGUCCGUGUUUUUAUUAUUCCCCUACAGGUAGAGUUCGUACUACCUAUUACAAGCCUUAAAAGUUAUUGAUUAUGCUUGUUUAAUGAACAGGGAGCGUUGUGGUGACUGUGAUAACUAGCCUAAGAGCUACUAUACUCACCUUAGCUUCCUGGUUAGCUGCGUCCUGUGUGUGCUAAGUUUGUUUUACUGUGUUAGCAUAACCAGAAUGGGUGUAAUGUUUACUCAGUAUGUGACAGUGUAAUGUCUGAAACUGUUUUGAAAUAUUACCAUUACAACACUGGAGACGAAAGCAGUGACAUCGUGUCCGUGUUUUUAUUAUUCCCCUACAGAUAGAGUCCUUACUCAUAAGGGGCGUAACACUGCCACGGUAUCUGAAAACUGUCAACUCAGGUUGGCAAAACUGGGGAGCAGCUCAGGGAAGGCGAUGAAGUAGCAGCAGACGAUGGUUGUGAAAGUGAGGCUGCAGAUUGAGAGGACUGAACAGACAGUGGAGAGGAGGAUGCCCCGCCUGAAGUUGAAGCCAUUGAGUCUGGAAAGGAACUACCAGGCGUAAAUGAGAAGCUGUACAUUGUUGUCCUUGUCAAAUAAACAAACAUAUGAAAUAUGA